CUCCUAGAUGCAUAAUCAAAAUUGACCUGCAGAAGGCAUAUGAUUCUGUCGAAUGGAUUUUCUUACAACAGGUAAUGGAUGCAAUGGGGUUUCCGGUUAGAUUCACAAGUUGGAUCAUGGAAUGUGUCCAAACAGUCAGCUAUACACUGAUGAUUAAUGGGGAAACAACUGAGCCUUUUAAAGCUGCUAAAGGCCAUAGACAAGGUGAUCCAAUCUCCCCAUUUCUAUUUGCAAUAGUAAUGGAGUAUUUAAGUAGAUCUCUGGCUGAACUGAAGAAAGACCAAGGAUUUUUAUUCCAUCCAGGUUGUAAAAGGGCUGGGCAUCACUCACAUCAGUUUUGCUGAUGAUCUACUUUUGUUUACUAAAUGUGAAAGUCAAUCUGUCAUUACCGUGUUCAAGUAUUUCUCCCAGUUCACAGAAGCAUCUGGGCUAAAAGCUAAUCUGAGCAAAAGUUCAGUUUACUUUGGAGGGGUUAGUUCUGAAGUCCAACAGCAUGGCUGAACUGAAGAAAGGCCAAGAUUUUGUAUUCCAUCCAGGUUGUAAAAGGCUAGGCAUCACUCACAUCAGUUUUGUUGAUGAUCUACUUCUGUUUGCUAAAGGUGAAAGGCAAUCUGUAAUUACCAUGUUCAAGUAUUUCUCUCAG
rnacentral:lncRNA from 1 species